AGAGUUUGAUCAUGGCUCAGAUUGAACGCUGGCGGCAGGCCUAACACAUGCAAGUCGAACGGUAACAGGAAACAGCUUGCUGUUUCGCUGACGAGUGGCGGACGGGUGAGUAAUGUCUGGGAAACUGCCUGAUGGAGGGGGAUAACUACUGGAAACGGUAGCUAAUACCGCAUAACGUCGCAAGACCAAAGAGGGGGACCUUCGGGCCUCUUGCCAUCGGAUGUGCCCAGAUGGGAUUAGCUUGUUGGUGGGGUAACGGCUCACCAAGGCGACGAUCCCUAGCUGGUCUGAGAGGAUGACCAGCCACACUGGAACUGAGACACGGUCCAGACUCUACGGGAGGCAGCAGUGGGGAAUAUUGCACAAUGGGCGCAAGCCUGAUGCAGCCAUGCCGCGUGUAUGAAGAAGGCCUUCGGGUUGUAAAGUACUUUCAGCGGGGAGGAAGGGAGUAAAGUUAAUACCUUUGCUCAUUGACGUUACCCGCAGAAGAAGCACCGGCUAACUCCGUGCCAGCAGCCGCGGUAAUACGGAGGGUGCAAGCGUUAAUCGGAAUUACUGGGCGUAAAGCGCACGCAGGCGGUUUGUUAAGUCAGAUGUGAAAUCCCCGGGCUCAACCUGGGAACUGCAUCUGAUACUGGCAAGCUUGAGUCUCGUAGAGGGGGGUAGAAUUCCAGGUGUAGCGGUGAAAUGCGUAGAGAUCUGGAGGAAUACCGGUGGCGAAGGCGGCCCCCUGGACGAAGACUGACGCUCAGGUGCGAAAGCGUGGGGAGCAAACAGGAUUAGAUACCCUGGUAGUCCACGCCGUAAACGAUGUCGACUUGGAGGUUGUGCCCUUGAGGCGUGGCUUCCGGAGCUAACGCGUUAAGUCGACCGCCUGGGGAGUACGGCCGCAAGGUUAAAACUCAAAUGAAUUGACGGGGGCCCGCACAAGCGGUGGAGCAUGUGGUUUAAUUCGAUGCAACGCGAAGAACCUUACCUGGUCUUGACAUCCACGGAAGUUUUCAGAGAUGAGAAUGUGCCUUCGGGAACCGUGAGACAGGUGCUGCAUGGCUGUCGUCAGCUCGUGUUGUGAAAUGUUGGGUUAAGUCCCGCAACGAGCGCAACCCUUAUCCUUUGUUGCCAGCGGUCCGGCCGGGAACUCAAAGGAGACUGCCAGUGAUAAACUGGAGGAAGGUGGGGAUGACGUCAAGUCAUCAUGGCCCUUACGACCAGGGCUACACACGUGCUACAAUGGCGCAUACAAAGAGAAGCGACCUCGCGAGAGCAAGCGGACCUCAUAAAGUGCGUCGUAGUCCGGAUUGGAGUCUGCAACUCGACUCCAUGAAGUCGGAAUCGCUAGUAAUCGUGGAUCAGAAUGCCACGGUGAAUACGUUCCCGGGCCUUGUACACACCGCCCGUCACACCAUGGGAGUGGGUUGCAAAAGAAGUAGGUAGCUUAACCUUCGGGAGGGCGCUUACCACUUUGUGAUUCAUGACUGGGGUGAAGUCGUAACAAGGUAACCGUAGGGGAACCUGCGGUUGGAUCACCU
rnacentral:rRNA from 1 species